rnacentral:rRNA from 1 species
GAGGAAGGUGGGGAUGACGUCAAAUCAUCAUGGCCCUUAUGUCUUGGGCUUCACGCAUGCUACAAUGGCCGGUACAAUGGGUUGCGAUACUGUGAGGUGGAGCUAAUCCCUAAAAGCCGGUCUCAGUUCGGAUUGGGGUCUGCAACCCGACCCCAUGAAGUCGGAGUCGCUAGUAAUCGCAGAUCAGCAACGCUGCGGUGAAUACGUUCCCGGGCCUUGUACACACCGCCCGUCAAGUCACGAAAGUUGGUAACACCCGAAGCCGAUGGCCUAACCACCUUGUGUGGAGGGAGUCGUCGAAGGUGGGACUGGCGAUU